rnacentral:rRNA from 1 species
AGAAAAUAGAUACCCAGGUAGUCCACGCCCUAAACGAUGCAUAUUUGGUGUGGGUGAUUCAGUUCAUCCGUGCCGGAGCUAACGCGUUAAAUAUGCCGCCUGGGGAGUACAGUCGCAAGGCUGAAACUCAAAGGAAUUGACGGGGGCCCGCACAAGCGGUGGAGCAUGUGGUUCAAUUCGACGCAACGCGAAGAACCUUACCUGGGCUCGAACGGCCGGUCAACGGCAGUGGAAACACUGUUAUCCCGCAAGGGAGUCCGGUCGAGGUGCUGCAUGGCUGUCGUCAGCUCGUGUCGUGAGAUGUUGGGUUAAGUCCCGCAACGAGCGCAACCCUCGUCCUGUGUUGCCAUGGGAGCAAUCCCGGAACUCGCAGGAGACCGCCAGCGAUAAGUUGGAGGAAGGUGGGGAUGACGUCAAGUCCUCAUGGCCUUUAUGUCCAGGGCUACACACGUGCUACAAUGGCCGGUACAAAGCGCUGCAAACCCGCGAGGGGGAGCCAAUCGCAAAAAACCGGCCUCAGUUCGGAUUGCAGG